UCCUCCUUCCUCCUGCCCCCUUCUGUCCCUUCUCUGUGCUGUGUCUCCUUCCCUCUCUUACCUCCCCCUGCUCUCUCCCCUCUGUCUUGUCUCUCGCUCUCUCUCUCUCCGGGAGGCCAAGGGGCUGUGGCCCUCACAGGGCAGCCGUGCGUCCUGUAGAGAACAGAGAGGCGCAGGCAUGGCCAGCAGCAAUACGGGAGGGUGUUGAGGGCCAGGGGGCCAGUGUCGAGUGGGAAACUGGCAGGACUGGGCCCGCCAGGGCUCCCGUGCCCCCGCAUGAACACAGAGUUCACUGCUGGGGAGCUACAGGCCUUCGAGAGGCUUUGCAGACAUGCGUGCGGCCAUCCCGGGUUUCCUCCCUGGCCCGCCGUAUUCACCCCACGCCUGCCAGGACUGAGUCCUGAGCACUACCAGGUUUUUGUCUCCCAUGGUGGUGCUGAGGACUUACUGCUGGCUCUGCUCCAAAGACACUCCUGUGGGGUCUGUGCGCCAGAGUCUCUGCAUUCUCCCACGACUACAGGCUCACUCGUGCCGGAGUGUUUAGAGAAGAGGCAGCCAUUU